rnacentral:rRNA from 1 species
AGAUUGAACGCUGGCGGCAGGCCUAACACAUGCAAGUCGAGCGGCAGCACGGGUACUUGUACCUGGUGGCGAGCGGCGGACGGGUGAGUAAUGCCUAGGAAUCUGCCUGGUAGUGGGGGAUAACGCUCGGAAACGGACGCUAAUACCGCAUACGUCCUACGGGAGAAAGCAGGGGACCUUCGGGCCUUGCGCUAUCAGAUGAGCCUAGGUCGGAUUAGCUAGUUGGUGGGGUAAUGGCUCACCAAGGCGACGAUCCGUAACUGGUCUGAGAGGAUGAUCAGUCACACUGGAACUGAGACACGGUCCAGACUCCGUACGGGAGGCAGCA